UCAGGUUGAUCCUGCCAGUAGUUACUUGCUUGUCUUAAGGAUUAAGCCAUGCAUGUCUAAGUAUAAACUCUUAUUAGUCGGUUGAAACUGCGAAAGGCACAUUAAAACAGUUAUAGUCUAUUUUAACCAAAAAGUGCCUGUGAUUAUUUUACCAAAAAAUUACAGGGUCUCAUGGAUAACUAUAGUAAUUCUACAGCUAAUACAUAUGAUAAUAUUAAAAAAAAGAUCUUUCAAUAGAUCUUAUUAUGAAUUCAUUAGAUAAACAUAAAAUACCUUUUUUAAAAAUUUCCUCUCUACUCUUUAGAGCUGUAGAAUAGAAUUACAAAAAAAAGAGUUGAUUCAUGAUGAAAAGAAAUUCUUCGGAACCUCAGUUCUCUUUUCGUAUUUAAAAAAAUGCGAUAGUUAAAAAAGGUAUCUGACCUAUCAACUGUCGAUGGUGUUAUCUAGGAUUACCAUGGUAUUAACGGGUACCGGAGGAUUAGGGUUUGAUUCCGGUGAGGGAGCCUUAGAAAUGGCUACCACUGCCAAGGAAGGCAGCAGGCGCGUAAAUUACCCAAUGACAAUCAGUUGAGGUAGCGACGAAAAAUAUCAAUGUAUUAUCUAUUUGAUACUAUGUUUGAAAUGAGAUCAAUAUAAACUUAUUAACAAGGAACAAUUGGAGGGCAAGUCUGGUGCCAGCAGCCGCGGUAAUUCCAGCUCCAAUAGCUAGUGUUAAAGUUGUUGCAGUUAAAAAGCUCGUAGUUGGAUUUUAUUAUUAUUUCGAUAAGGUGUAUUUGUUUGCUAAUUAUCAAUACACUAGGGACUCUGAAUAUAUAUCUUUUUAAGAAAACUACUAAAAGAGAAUAUAGUUUGAAUACUCUUUUUAAAAAAACAAAAGUAAAAAGGUUAGGGGGUGUGUUGAUGUUGAUUAUUAUAAUAAAAUGGACUACUAAUGACUACCACUCUCUUUAAAAAAAAAAUACUCAAAAAAAAAGCCCCGAAUACCAGGUUCUAAGCCCCGAAUACCAAUAAAAAUCCCCGAAUACAUUCAGGUCUCAGUCCCGAAUACCGAUAAAAAGCAACGAAUACAACCUGUGUAAAGAGGGGAUGAGGAUAGGGAUUAUUAUAAUCCUCAUCCCUUUACACACACAUUUACUUUGAAAAAAUUAGAGUGUUCAAAACAGAUUUUUUCAAAAAAUGUGUCUUGAAUAUAUUACCAUGUUAUGAGAUAAAAUGGAUUCUGAUGUAAAUAUUUUCCAUUAAAAAGGUUUAAAAAAAAAAAAACAAAUUUUUUUUUUUGCAGUUUUUUUUUUUAAAAAUCAUUAUUUUAAUUAUAUUGGAAUAACGAUUAAUAGGGAUAGUUGGGGUCACUCAUAUUCAAUUGUCAGAGGUGAAAUUCUAGGAUUAAUUGAAGAUGAACUAAUGCGAAAGCAUUUGACAAGGAUGUUUUCAUUAAUCAAGAACGAAAGUUGGGGGAUCGAAGAUGACCAGAUACCGUCGUAGUCCCAACCCUAAACAAUGUGAACUUAGGAUCUAUAGGUGGAUAAAAUUAYAUGUCCCCCUGGGCACUAAAGUGAGAAAUCAUAAGUAUUUGCAUUCCGGGGGGAGUAUGGUCGCAAGGCUGAAACUUAAAGGAAUUGACGGAAGGGCACCACCAGGAGUGGAACCUGCGGCUUAAUUUGACUCAACACGGGGAAACUUACCAGGACCGUACUGAUUUAGGAUUGACAGGUUGAUAGCCCUUUNUUGAUUUUUAGAAUGGUGGUGCAUGGCCGUUUUUAGUUGGUGGAGUGAUUUGUCUGGUUAAUUCCGUUAACGAACGAGACCUUAACCUAUUAAAUAGUGUAUUCAACAAAUUCCAUUUUAAUAAGAAGAAGAAAGAGUAUUUUUUUUUUUUAGUAUUUAAUCUUUUUCCUUUUUGGUUUUUCAGUUUAAUUAAAAACCUUCUUAGAGGGACUCUUUGCACAUCCUCAUAGUGAAUGGAAGUUUGAGGCAAAAACAGGUCUGUGAUGCCCUUCGAUGUUCUGGGCCGCACGCGCGUUACAAUGAUUGGAACAACGAGUUUUAAAUAAUUCCUUAUUUUAAAAGAUUGGGUAAUCUUUGUAAAUGUAUUCGUAAUGGGGAUAGAAUAUUGAAAUUAUUAUUCUCCAACGAGGAAUUCCUAGUAAAUAUUAAAUCAUCAAUCUGUGUUGAUUGCGUCCCUGCCCUUUGUACACACCGCCCGUCGCUCCUACCGAUUGAACGGCCUGGUGAGAACUAUGGACACCAAUAGUUUUAUCUGAUAUUUUUUAAAAUGUUAUUAAAAAACUAGUAGUGAAAAUAGUUCAAACCCUACCGUUUAGAGGAAGGAGAAGUCGUAACAAGGUUUCCGUAGGUGAACCUGCAGAAGGAUCA
rnacentral:rRNA from 1 species